rnacentral:rRNA from 1 species
GUAGGUGGCAAGCGUUGUCCGGAAUUAUUGGCGUAAAGCGCGCGCAGGCGGUCCUUUAAGUCUGAUGUGAAAGCCCACGGCUCAACCGUGGAGGGUCAUUGGAAACUGGGGGACUUGAGUACAGAAGAGGAAAGCGGAAUUCCAAGUGUAGCGGUGAAAUGCGUAGAGAUUUGGAGGAACACCAGUGGCGAAGGCGGCUUUCUGGUCUGUAACUGACGCUGAGGCGCGAAAGCGUGGGGAGCAAACAGGGAUUAGAUACCCUGGUAGUCCACGCCGUAAACGAUGAGUGCUAAGUGUUAGGGGGUUUCCCGCCCCUUAGUGCUGCAGCUAACGCAUUAAGCACUCCGCCUGGGGAGUACGGCCGCAAGGCUG